AUGGCAGCAACUGGCUGCCCCAAUGGCAGCCUUGGGCCCAGGAGCCUGACCAUGAAGCAGUCUGUCCAACCUGCAGAGCCUUGGAGCAAGGUCACUUCAGUUGUUUCCACUAGAAAAUACGCAAGUGAUGAUGCAUUGAAAAUUUGGGGUUUGAAGUCCAAGCCUCAAUCACUGUGGUAUGUCUUCGGUGGUGGGACCCGGCUCACCGUUCUAGGUCAGCCCAAGGCUUCCCCCUCGCUCACUGUAUUUCCACCCUCCUCUGACGAGCUACAGACCAACAAGGCCACACUGGUGUGUCUGAUCAAUGACUUCUACCCGGGUGCUGUGACUGUGGCCUGGAAAGCAGAUAGUACCACAAUCAGCCAGGGUGUGGAGACUACCCAGCCCUCUAAACAGACCAACAACAAGUACAUGGCCAGCAGCUACCUGACCAUCACGCCUGACAAGUGGAAAUCUCACAAAAGCUUUAGCUGCCAGGUCACACAUGAAGGAAACACUGUGGAGAAGAGUGUAUCCCCUUCAGGAUGUUCUUAACCUUUUGUCCCUCACCCCACCCUCAUGAUCCUGGAAGUGAAGGACCCUGGUGAGGGACCCCUCCCUUUCCUAGUCUUCCCACUAAGCCCUUCUCUCUGAACCCACUGACUGCUCAAUAAAAUAUCCUAUUGUG